rnacentral:rRNA from 1 species
UGGGGAAUUUUGGACAAUGGGCGAAAGCCUGAUCCAGCAAUGCCGCGUGUGUGAAGAAGGCCUUCGGGUUGUAAAGCACUUUUGUCCGGAAAGAAAUCCUUGGCUCUAAUACAGUCGGGGGAUGACGGUACCAGAAGAAUAAGCACCGGCUAACUACGUGCCAGCAGCCGCGGUAAUACGUAGGGUGCAAGCGUUAAUCGGAAUUACUGGGCGUAAAGCGUGCGCAGGCGGUUUGCUAAGACCGAUGUGAAAUCCCCGGGCUCAACCUGGGAACUGCAUUGGUGACUGGCAGGCUAGAGUAUGGCAGAGGGGGGUAGAAUUCCACGUGUAGCAGUGAAAUGCGUAGAGAUGUGGAGGAAUUACCGAUGGCGAAGGCAGCCCCCUGGGCCAAUACUGACGUCAUGC